AAGAAAAUGAAUGCCAAACAGUCAAAAAACUUUAACAAUUUAAUAGGUUAUAUCAUUUCCCACUAGUUCUAGUAUUAGUGAACAAGUUCGGUGAGAUGGCCCCUGCCGAGGCCAGUUGGCCUUCAGCUGAAGGCAUACAAUGCGAAUCAGGAGAAGCAUCUUAGUGCUAUUGGAUCAGUUUUCUGAGAAAGGUGUAGAUACAUUAGAGUAUCUUUUGGGGGGCAGGGGGGUACUAUGAUGGUGAGAGAACCAUCCCGAUAAAACCAUAUGAUAAAAGUCAUAUCCUACAAAGAAGAGUUGAAGGAAUAGGAAUAUUUUGUCAGGAGAAAAAAGGUUUCAGGAGAGAUAGGGUAGCUGCCAUCACAUGAUGGUCAUGUGUCUGGUGGCUUUAGAAUCACUAUCUUCCCGAGGAGUAGAUAUGAAACCAAUGAUGUUUAGUACCAAGGGAUAGAUUCAGAAUCAAUGAGAGGAGGUUGGGUCUGCCUUCACUGGGAGCCAGAUGCUGAAAGAAUUCCUAUCAUAAAAAAAAAAAAAAAUUAAAAAAAUAAAAAUAAAAAUAAAACCCAAAAAAUUAGAGCUGAGGUUGGAAAAUUAUAGAAGCAGACGAGAGAGAGAGAGAGAGAGAGAGAGAGAGAGAGCUGUUUCCCCAGAGUUUGGGUUUCUAUAUUUUAUCUGCAGUUAUUAAAUAGGGGCAAGAUAUUCAUCACUGUGGGUGGGGGCAGGAUUUUGGCUUUUUCCUCCUAAUUUGAUCAGGGGUUUCCUAUCGUGGCCUCCACCAUCUUGUGCCUGUGUGGUUGGAAGUGGCUGCUUGUGGAGUGCUGCCAGGAGAGGCCUCUGACCUUCCCUGUAGCUGACCAUGAGUUCUUUGUUGCUUUCAUUCAGAUAUCCUAUUAGAACCCAACUAACUGUCUCCUCUAGCAUAGUCUCCCUCAUUUUAUAGUCAAGAAAACUCAAUUCCUAUCAAAUGAAAUGCCUUGACCAAGAUCACACAGCCUUAGGGACAGAGUUGGGCCUUUUUAUUCCCAGUCAUGUACUGUUAUUGCAAUGACAAGGUGUGCAAUCAUGGAAAGAGAGAAGCUUUAAAAUGGCACAUUCAGGCAUAGCCCAUGUCCUGGCCCUGUGACCUUGGGCAAGUUGCUUAUCUUUUCUGAUCAUCAAUUUCUUCAUCUGCAAGUGGGAAUAAUACCCACUUCAGUGGAUUCCUCUAAGAACUUGAAGAGGGAAUAUUCACAAAGUAGUUACCUGAGUGCCCAGCAAACAGAGGUUGCCUACAAAAAAUACUUGUGUUCUCCAAUUUCCAGCCCUUCUUGCUUGGUUGCUUCCCAAGCCUUCCUGCUGAUACCAUGUCAAUGAUUUUAAGAAGAAGCCUGGACUUUCCUCUAUUCUUUCCAAAUCACACCAUUGAGAGACAGAACUGCGGAGAGAAAAAAGAGAAAUGGAGCCAAUGCAGUGAAAUAUUAGCAGUUAGGGAAUCUGGUGAUUUAACAUGGCCCUUUAAAAAAUGCCUUGGAAGACGUGUCCACCAGCUGCUAGAUCAGAUACACGUUUUUCUUCAUCAGCUGAAGCACCAACAUCCUGGUCAAGCAUGGAUCGGGAGCCACUCAGAUCCCUUGGCUUUGUGCUUCCUUUCAGCCCAUAGCCUGUGGCAUUUGCUUCCAAACAUCAACUGAAGCACAGGGAAAUUUGCAGUGUUUUCAACAGUUCAGCGGACCUCGCAUCUACUUGCAAGAUGGGAUGCUGCCUGAUUCAGGAAUCAUUUAACAAAGCCAAUUAGAUCUUCAGAUUUACUCGACUGAGUUUUAUUUGGAGACACUCUCUACUGACUCCCCUCAGGCCACAUGCACUGAUGUAACUUGCAAGAAGUUGCUGUGGCCAAGUAAGAAUGGUGAAAAUUAAGAAGACAG